AUUCAAAUGACGAGUCCUAAAUAGGACGAAAUGUGCAUCCUGGAU
rnacentral:hammerhead_ribozyme from 1 species